AUGUCCUGAAGUGUGACUGAAUGGAUCUUGUCCUUGACUACAGACCAGCGUGCUCAAUCAGCGUGAGGCUAAAAGUGUCCCUACCAGCCUCACAACUGAAGACACCAUCAGAAAUAGCAGUCUGGAGUGAUCUACUGAAAGAUCGUCACAUGGAGUUUUGGCAUGAGCCAUCAAUAUGGAGCUUCCCUGUCUUUCCCAGCCUUAUAGAUACAUCCAAGGAAAGAGGAAAUGAGGGGUGCAUGUCCUUCGUGCACUGAUGGAGAUGUUAACGAGGCUAAGGAGAAACCUGAACACUUUACCCAGAUGUUCAGGACAUGAAGAAAGGGUGGCUGCUGCACAGAACCAGGAUCGGGCAAUCCACACUUGUUUUCUAAAGAGGAUUUCUACCCAAAGUUGGGCAGAUUUUCCCAAAGAAAAUACUCCUGUGUCUCUACCAAUGGAUAAAAAUGUUGUAUUUUAAGUCUGUAAAAUAUUCUGUUUACUAUUAUAAUGAUGUGUAUGCGUAGUUUUAAAUCUUCUUUGAUAAUAGGCUUUUUAACAAAACUGGCUGAUUUUAAUGCUGUUAACUGUGCAGUUAAGUGAUCAUGCUCAUUUAAUCAAAUUAAAACCUACUGAUGUUCUGACCUUCAUAGUCAAUCUAGUAUCUAGCUGUAGUAGUAUGUUACAAGCAAAAUGUAUUUUAAGUAUCACAAUUACUCUUAUAAUCUCAUACAAUGUUGUGAAUCAAUGUUUGUUUCAUUUGUACAGUCAUUAGCAGCAGUCUUUAAGCAAUUAGUUAGCAACUUGCAGUUAUCUAUAAAAAGAGAUAUUAUGUAAAAAUGCAAAAAAAAUCUGAGCUAAUAGACUCAACAUUUAAUAUAGCGUCAUGCACGCACCCAUACAUUACUUUUAUUUCUGUAGAAAUCUGUAUUAGGACCUGUGUUUAACUGUA